GCAAGGACUUCGACCGACUAGCCGAGCACCAAAUGUGGCCGUCAUGGCAUCUUGACAGGCCAUAUUGGGUCACAUCACUUAGACGCCAUAUCCUGAUCGGCUGGCUGUGCGUCAUAAUGUGAUGCUACAGAUUCAUUAAUUGCACCUAUGGGGUCAUUUAUUAUGCCCCAUGCAUGGUAGCAUCUGCCAUCACGAUCACGUGGGCAUCAAACAGAAGGCACGUCCGCCGUCAGAG
rnacentral:lncRNA from 1 species